rnacentral:rRNA from 1 species
GGGGGGGGCGGCCUAACACAUGCAGUCGAGCGGCAGCACGGGAAGCUUGCUUCCUGGUGGCGAGCGGCGGACGGGUGAGUAAUGCAUAGGAAUCUGCCCGGUAGUGGGGGAUAACCUGGGGAAACCCAGGCUAAUACCGCAUACGUCCUACGGGAGAAAGCAGGGGCUCUUCGGACCUUGCGCUAUCGGAUGAGCCUAUGUCGGAUUAGCUGGUUGGUGAGGUAAUGGCUCACCAAGGCGACGAUCCGUAGCUGGUCUGAGAGGAUGAUCAGCCACAUCGGGACUGAGACACGGCCCGAACUCCUACGGGAGGCAGCAGUGGGGAAUAUUGGACAAUGGGCGCAAGCCUGAUCCAGCCAUGCCGCGUGUGUGAAGAAGGCCUUCGGGUUGUAAAGCACUUUCAGUGGGGAAGAAAGCCUGGUGGUUAAUACCCGCCAGGAAGGACAUCACCCACAGAAGAAGCACCGGCUAACUCCGUGCCAGCAGCCGCGGUAAUACGGAGGGUGCGAGCGUUAAUCGGAAUUACUGGGCGUAAAGCGCGCGUAGGUGGCUUGAUAAGCCGGUUGUGAAAGCCCCGGGCUCAACCUGGGAACGGCAUCCGGAACUGUCAGGCUAGAGUGCAGGAGAGGAAGGUAGAAUUCCCGGUGUAGCGGUGAAAUGCGUAGAGAUCGGGAGGAAUACCAGUGGCGAAGGCGGCCUUCUGGACUGACACUGACACUGAGGUGCGAAAGCGUGGGUAGCAAACAGGAUUAGAUACCCUGGUAGUCCACGCCGUAAACGAUGUCGACUAGCCGUUGGGUCCUUCGCGGACUUUGUGGCGCAGUUAACGCGAUAAGUCGACCGCCUGGGGAGUACGGCCGCAAGGUUAAAACUCAAAUGAAUUGACGGGGGCCCGCACAAGCGGUGGAGCAUGUGGUUUAAUUCGAUGCAACGCGAAGAACCUUACCUACCCUUGACAUCCUGCGAACCCUUCGGAGACGAAGGGGUGCCUUCGGGAACGCAGAGACAGGUGCUGCAUGGCUGUCGUCAGCUCGUGUUGUGAAAUGUUGGGUUAAGUCCCGUAACGAGCGCAACCCUUGUCCUUAUUUGCCAGCGAGUAAUGUCGGGAACUCUAAGGAGACUGCCGGUGACAAACCGGAGGAAGGUGGGGACGACGUCAAGUCAUCAUGGCCCUUACGGGUAGGGCUACACACGUGCUACAAUGGUCGGUACAAAGGGUUGCGAACUUGCGAAAGUAAGCUAAUCCCAUAAAGCUGAUCUCAGUCCGGAUCGGAGUCUGCAACUCGACUCCGUGAAGUCGGAAUCGCUAGUAAUCGUGAAUCAGAAUGUCACGGUGAAUACGUUCCCGGGCCUUGUACACACCGCCCGUCACACCAUGGGAGUGGACUGCACCAGAAGUGGUUAGCCUAACCUUCGGGAGGGCGAUCACCCACGGUGUGGUUCAUGACUGGGGGAAGUCGAAC